GAUGAACGCUGGCGGCGUGCCUAAUACAUGCAAGUCGAGCGAACAGAUGAGGAGCUUGCUCCUCUGACGUUAGCGGCGGACGGGUGAGUAACACGUGGAUAACCUACCUAUAAGACUGGGAUAACUUCGGGAAACCGGAGCUAAUACCGGAUAAUAUAUUGAACCGCAUGGUUCAAUAGUGAAAGACGGUUUUGCUGUCACUUAUAGAUGGAUCCGCGCCGCAUUAGCUAGUUGGUGAGGUAACGGCUUACCAAGGCAACGAUGCGUAGCCGACCUGAGAGGGUGAUCGGCCACACUGGAACUGAGACACGGUCCAGACUCCUACGGGAGGCAGCAGUAGGGAAUCUUCCGCAAUGGGCGAAAGCCUGACGGAGCAACGCCGCGUGAGUGAUGAAGGUCUUCGGAUCGUAAAACUCUGUUAUUAGGGAAGAACAAAUGUGUAAGUAACUAUGCACGUCUUGACGGUACCUAAUCAGAAAGCCACGGCUAACUACGU
rnacentral:rRNA from 1 species